rnacentral:lncRNA from 1 species
UCUGUGGAUUGCUUUGAGUUGUAUUUUUAUCUUAACCAUGUUACAACUUCCAACCCAUGGACACAAGAUGUCUUUCCAUUGAUUUAGGUCUUCCUUAGUCUCCUCGAGCAAUGUUCUGUAGUUGUCUGUGUACAAGUACUGCACCUUCUUGAACAAAUUUAUUCCCAGGCAUAUUAUCCUUACAGGUGCUAUUAUAAAUGAAAUCAUUGUGUCAGUUUACUUCUCAGAUAGCUCAUUGCCAUCACAAUGGAUUGUUUGCUGAAAGUUUGCUGAAUUCACUUAUUAACUCUGAUAGUGUGUGUGUGUGUGUGUGUGUGUGUGUGUGUGUGUCUGGUGUCUGUGUGCAUGUAUGUGUGUUUGCCUUUGUAUGUAUUGUUUGGGAUUUUCUAUGCAUAGGAUCACACCAUCUGCAAAUUGAGAUCAUUUUGUUUUCUGUUCAAAAAUAUUUUUUCUCAUGUUUAUUUUUGAAAGAUAAUUUGGCCAGGUGUAGACUUGUAGGUGACAGUUUUUCUUUUUUUAAGUACUUUAUUGCAAACUUCUUGUUUGUAAAAUUUCCUAUGAGAAAUCUUAUGCCAUCCUUAUAUUUAGUGCUCUGUAUGUAACAUGUUCUUUUCCCUUUUAUUACUUUUAGGAUUUCCUUUUUAUCACUGGUUUUGAUGGAUUUGAUUAAGGUGUUCCUUGGUGAAGUUUUCUGCAUGUUUCUUGUUCUUGGGAUAAUCAUAUUUCUGUAAUAUUUGAAGUUUAUGAUUUCUAUGGAGCUUCUAAAUCUUUCAUCCAGUAUGUUUUAAAUAUCUUUUUCUCUCUUCUCCACUACCUGCCCUUCAGGGAUUCCAUUUAGCCCUAUACUGGGGGGUUUAAAGUUUUGAUGCUGAUGGUCUUUAUAUGUUUUCAAGUCAUUUGUUAAUGUGUGUUUCAUUUAUGUUAGUUUCAACUUCUAUUCCUUCUAGUUUAAUAAUCUUCUCUUCUGCAAUAUUUAAUCCAGUGCCUUCUUCCAUUUCACACUGUAAAUCAUAGUUUUUAUCUACAGAAUUUGAUAUUUAAAAAAUCUUCAACCUCUCCAUUUAAUUAAAAUACAAUUAUACUAAUUGCGGUAACGUCCUUUUCUUCUAUUUCCAACGUGUGUGUCAAUUUCAACCAGAUUAUUAGAUUCUUCAGUAUGUGUCAUGUUUUCCUGCUUCUUUGACUGCUUGAUAUUCUUUUAUUUUUAUUUAUUUGUUUUUGGGGGGAUGGAGUUUCACUCUCGUUGCCCAGUCUGGAG